ACUAAGUCUGGAUGUCACGUAGAGCCAUGCAGCACCCUAAAACUUGCAGAAGAUCCCCGUUUCAGAAAUCUGAAGCCACCCGGUGUCCGGGGCAAAGGAGGAACUUCAAUCAUAAGACAGCCAGACAUCCGUGGACAUUUUGGUGGCUAUUUGAGAACAGCCCUGAAGCAAUCUCAGUGGGUUACCUGUGGGGAAUUUCUCUUGUCUGAGACCAGACCCACACCACUGAUGGUGACAGGCUGGAUCAGGAAGACACUUUGAGAGAUAUCACCAGCAACUCCUGUGAAAUCCAUAGAGAGGCCUAUUUGCAAUGCUUAGCAACCUGUCAUCUUUUUAAAUAACAAGAUUAUUUCUACAAAUGAACAAAGAGGCUGGCUGUGCUGGGAUAAACAUCAACUUUUUCACUGACAUAAAUAUUGUACACCAAGAGCUUAAUUCAACAACCAUAUCAUGUUUCUGGCAAGUUCCUGCAUGUAAUUUUGCUAUGUCGCUAUACAUAAAUACGGAGAGUAACCAAUUCCAUCAGGGUGCGGGGACAGAUGUCACUCCGCUGCUGCUGUGUUUGUGCUCGCUGCGGAGGCGCAGCUUAGGGAAGCGCA